AUUGAACGCUGGCGGCAGGCUUAACACAUGCAAGUCGAGCGAGCGGCGGACGGGUGAGUCAUGUCUGGGAAACUGCCUGAUGGAGGGGGAUAACUACUGGAAACGGUAGCUAAUACCGCAUACCAUCAUAUGUGCCCAGAUGGGAUUAGCUAGUAGGUGGGGUAAUGGCUCACCUAGGCGACGAUCCCUAGCUGGUCUGAGCGGAUGACCAGCAACACGGGAACUGAGACACGGUCCAGACUCCUACGUGAGGCAGCAUUGGGGAAUAUUGCACAAUGGGCGCAAGCCUGAUGCAGCCAUGCCGCGUGUGUGAAGAAGGCCUGCGGGUUGUAAAGCACUUUCAGCGAGGAGGCGUUACUCGCAGAAGAAGCACCGGCUAACUCCGUGCCAGCAGCCGCGGUAAUAC
rnacentral:rRNA from 1 species